UGAGGAAUAUUGGUCAAUGGGCGGAAGCCUGAACCAGCCAAGUCGCGUGAGGGAAGGCGGUCCUAUGGAUUGUAAACCUCUUUUGCAGGGGAGCAAGACGUGGUACGUGUACCGUGCUGGAGAGUACCCUGAGAAAAAGGCAUCGGCUAACUCCGUGCCAGCAACCGCGGUAAUACGGAGGAUGCGAGCGUUAUCCGGAUUUAUUGGGUUUAAAGGGUGCGUAGGCGGACUGGUAAGUCAGCGGUAAAAAUUGCGGUGCUCAACGCCGUAGUGCCGUUGAAACUGCCGGUCUUGAGUGAGCGAGAAGUAUGCGGAAUGCGUGGUGUAGCGGUGAAAUGCAUAGAUAUCACGCAGAACUCCGAUUGCGAAGGCAGCAUACCGGCGCUCAACUGACGCUGAGGCACGAAAGCGUGGGGGAUCGAACAGGAUUAGAUACC
rnacentral:rRNA from 1 species